CUACGGGGGGCUGCAGUGGGGAAUAUUGGACAAUGGGCGAAAGCCUGAUCCAGCCAUGCCGCGUGUGUGCAGAAGGCCUUCGGGUUGUAAAGCACUUUCAGUGGGGAAGAAAGCCUUGGGGCUAAUACCCUCGAGGAAGGACAUCACCCACAGAAGAAGCACCGGCUAACUCCGUGCCAGCAGCCGCGGUAAUACGGAGGGUGCGAGCGUUAAUCGGAAUUACUGGGCGUAAAGCGCGCGUAGGCGGUCUGAUAAGCCGGUUGUGAAAGCCCCGGGCUCAACCUGGGAACGGCAUCCGGAACUGUCAGGCUAGAGUGCAGGAGAGGAAGGUAGAAUUCCCGGUGUAGCGGUGAAAUGCGUAGAGAUCGGGAGGAAUACCAGUGGCGAAGGCGGCCUUCUGGACUGACACUGACGCUGAGGUGCGAAAGCGUGGGUAGCAAACAGGAUUAGAUACCCUAGUAGUC
rnacentral:rRNA from 1 species